rnacentral:rRNA from 1 species
GACGAACGCUGGCGGCGUGCUUAACACAUGCAAGUCGAACGGAAAGGCCCUGCUUUUGUGGGGUGCUCGAGUGGCGAACGGGUGAGUAACACGUGAGUAACCUGCCCUUGACUUUGGGAUAACUUCAGGAAACUGGGGCUAAUACCGGAUAGGAGCUCCUGCUGCAUGGUGGGGGUUGAAAAGUUUCGGCGGUUGGGGAUGGACUCGCGGCUUAUCAGCUUGUUGGUGGGGUAGUGGCUUACCAAGGCUUUGACGGGUAGCCGGCCUGAGAGGGUGACCGGCCACAUUGGGACUGAGAUACGGCCCAGACUCCUACGGGAGGCAGCAGUGGGGAAUAUUGCACAAUGGGCGGAAGCCUGAUGCAGCAACGCCGCGUGCGGGAUGACGGCCUUCGGGUUGUAAACCGCCUUCGCCUGUGACGAAGCGUGAGUGACGGUAAUGGGUAAAGAAGCACCGGCUAACUACGUG